GGUGUAGGCGGCUUGUUAAGUCGGAUGUGAAAUCUCCCGGCUAAACUGGGAGGGGUCAUUCGAUACUGGCAGGCUGGAGUGCAGCAGAGGAAAGCGGAAUUCCCGGUGUAGUGGUGAAAUGCGUAGAUAUCGGGAGGAACACUAGUGGCGAAGGCGGCUUUCUGGGCUGUUACUGACGCUGAGGUCCGAAGGCGUGGGGAGCAAACAGGAUCAGAUACCCUGGUAGUCCACGCAGUAAACUAUGGACACUAGGUAUGGGGAGUAUCGACCCUCUCCGUGCCGAAGCUAACGCUUUAAGUGUCCCGCCUGGGGAGUACGGUCGCAAGGCUAAA
rnacentral:rRNA from 1 species